GACGAACGCUGGCGGCGUGCUUAACACAUGCAAGUCGAACGGUGAAGCUCCAGCUUGCUGGAGUGGAUCAGUGGCGAACGGGUGAGUAACACGUGAGCAACCUGCCCCUGACUCUGGAAUAAGCGCUGGAAACGGCGUCUAAUACUGGAUACGAGAAGGGUCCGCAUGGGCACUUUCUGGAAAGUUUUUCGGUUGGGGAUGGGCUCGCGGCCUAUCAGCUUGUUGGUGAGGUAAUGGCUCACCAAGGAGACGACGGGUAGCCGGCCUGCGAGGGCGACCGGCCACACUGGGACUGAGACACGGCCCAGACUCCUACGUGAGGCAGCAGUGGGGAAUAUUGCACAAUGGGCGAGAGCCUGAUGCAGCGACGCCGCGUGAGGGAUGACGGCCUUCGGGUUGUAAACCUCUUUCAGCAGGGAAGAAGCGAAAGUGACGGUACCUGAAGAAGAAGCACCGGCUAACUACGU
rnacentral:rRNA from 1 species